rnacentral:lncRNA from 1 species
GAUAGAUUCAAAGUUCUCAUCUCCAUUUAAGAAAAUUAAGCAACCAGAAGAGAGAUUUGUAAAUAAUUACAGCACCAGAAAUGAUUACCUGACACUAAAAUCAAUGAGGAUAGUCCGUUAAUAUGUGCAGCCAUUUCCAAAGUAUUGGAGGCAGCCUGGAAUAUUUGAAUGGCACUUUGAUAUGGAAGAACUCAAACCAGGGAGGCAACUGUAAUAUGUGGUGCCCCUGCCUUCGGAUGUUUAAACAUGAUAUACCAAACAAAGUUUCUCAAACCACACUUUACUC